rnacentral:rRNA from 1 species
GCUUACGGCCAUACCACCCUGAGAACGCCCGAUCUCGUCUGAUCUCGGAAGCUAAGCAGGGCAUACCUGUCAAGUUUUAGAUUUAAAAAUAAGGGAUAUUUUCC